rnacentral:rRNA from 1 species
AUUGAACGCUGGCGGCAUGCCUUACACAUGCAAGUCGAACGGCAGCACGGGGGGUAACCCCUGGUGGCGAGUAGCGAACGGGUGAGUAAUACAUCGGAACGUGUCCUGUAGCGGGGGAUAACCUCUCGAAAGAGAGGCUAAUACCGCAUACGACCUACGGGUGAAAGAGGGGGAUCGCAAGACCUCUCACUAUUGGAGCGGCCGAUGUCGGAUUAGCUAGUUGGUGGGGUAAAAGCCACCAAGGCUACGAUCCGUAGCUGGUCUGAGAGGACGGCCAGCCACACUGGAACUGAGACACUGUCCAGACUCCUACGGGAGGCUGCAGUCGAGAAUCUUGGUCAAUGCACGAAAGUGUGAACCAGCGACGCCGCGUGAAGAUGAAGGACCUCUGGUU